rnacentral:rRNA from 1 species
GAUCAUGGCUCAGGAUGAACGCUGGCGGCGUGCUUAACACAUGCAAGUCGAACGAGGCGCUUUGGAUGGAUUUCUUCGGAUUGAUAUCCUUAGUGACUGAGUGGCGGACGGGUGAGUAACGCGUGGGUAACCUGCCUCAUACAGGGGGAUAACAGUUAGAAAUGGCUGCUAAUACCGCAUAAGCGCACAGUACCGCAUGGUACCGUGUGAAAAACUCCGGUGGUAUGAGAUGGACCCG